rnacentral:rRNA from 1 species
CCUACGGGAGGCAGCAGUGAGGAAUAUUGGUCAAUGGACGAGAGUCUGAACCAGCCAAGUAGCGUGAAGGAUGACUGCCCUAUGGGUUGUAAACUUCUUUUAUAUGGGAAUAAAAUGUUCCACGUGUGGGAUUUUGUAUGUACCAUAUGAAUAAGGAUCGGCUAACUCCGUGCCAGAAGCCGCGGUAAUACGGAGGCUCCGAGCGUUAUCCGGAUUUAUUGGGUUUAAAGGGAGCGUAGGUGGAUUGUUAAGUCAGUUGUGAAAGUUUGCGGCUCAACCGUAAAAUUGCAGUUGACACUGGCAGUCUUGAGUACAGUAGAGGUGGGCUGAAUUCGUGGUGUAGCGGUGACAUGCUUAGAUAUCACGAAGAACUCCGAUUGCGAAGGCAGCUCACUGGACUGCAACUGACACUGAGGCUCGAAAGUGUGGGUAUCAAACAGGAUUAGAUACCCCGGUAGUC